GAAUAUGGCCAUACCACCCUGAACACACCUGAUCUUGUCUGAUCUCUGAAGUUAAGCAGGGUGGGGCCUGGUUAGUACUUGGAUAGGAGAGAUCCCGUCUAAUCUCAGUAGGGCUAAUGCC
rfam:Canis lupus familiaris chromosome 9, whole genome shotgun sequence.